ACGAGUUAUCUGAACCUUCGGGGGACGAUAACGGCGUCGAGCGGCGGACGGGUGAGUAAUGCCUAGGAAAUUGCCCUGAUGUGGGGGAUAACCAUUGGAAACGAUGGCUAAUACCGCAUAAUGCCUACGGGCCAAAGAGGGGGACCUUCGGGCCUCUCGCGUCAGGAUAUGCCUAGGUGGGAUUAGCUAGUUGGUGAGGUAAUGGCUCACCAAGGCGACGAUCCCUAGCUGGUCUGAGAGGAUGAUCAGCCACACUGGAACUGAGACACGGUCCAGACUCCUACGGGAGGCAGCAGUGGGGAAUAUUGCACAAUGGGCGCAAGCCUGAUGCAGCCAUGCCGCGUGUGUGAAGAAGGCCUUCGGGUUGUAAAGCACUUUCAGUCGUGAGGAAGGUAGUGUAGUUAAUAGCUGCAUUACUUGACGUUAGCGACAGAAGAAGCACC
rnacentral:rRNA from 1 species